rnacentral:rRNA from 1 species
UACGUAGGCAGCGAGCGUUGUUCGGAAUUACUGGGCGUCAAGAGUGUGUAGGCGGUGUUCCCAGUCUGUUGUGAAAUCUCCCGGCUUAACUGGGAGGGUGCAGCGGAAACUAGAAUGCUAGAGGGUGGGAGAGGUAAGCGGAAUUCCUGGUGUAGCGGUGAAAUGCGUAGAUAUCAGGAGGAACACCUGUGGUGUAGACAGCUUACUGGACCACUUCUGACGCUGAGACACGAAAGCGUGGGUAGCAAACAGG